GACGAACGCUGGCGGCGUGCUUAACACAUGCAAGUCGAACGGAAAGGCCCUGCUUUUGUGGGGUGCUCGAGUGGCGAACGGGUGAGUAACACGUGAGUAACCUGCCCUUGACUGUGGGAUAACUUCAGGAAACUGGGGCUAAUACCGGAUAGGAGCUCCUGCUGCAUGGUGGGGGUUGGAAAGUUUCGGCGGUUGGGGAUGGACUCGCGGCUUAUCAGCUUGUUGGUGGGGUAGUGGCUUACCAAGGCUUUGACGGGUAGCCGGCCUGAGAGGGUGACCGGCCACAUUGGGACUGCGAUACGGCCCAGACGCCUACGGGAGGCAGCAGUGGGGAAUUUUGCACAAUGGGCGGAAGCCUGAUGCAGCAACGCCGCGUGCGGGAUGCCGGCCUUCGGGUUGUAAACCGCUUUCGCCUGUGACGAAGCGUGAGUGACGGUAAUGGGUAAAGAAGCACCGGCUAACUACGUG
rnacentral:rRNA from 1 species